AUUGAACGCUGGCGGCGUGCUUAACACAUGCAAGUCGAUCGGUAACAGGUGUAGCAAUACAAUGCUGACGAGAGGCGGACGGGUGAGUAAUGCUUGGGAAUCUGCCUAGUUAGUGGGGGACAACCCGGGGAAACUCGGGCUAAUACCGCAUACGCUCUACGGAGGAAAGCCGGGGACCGCAAGGCCUGGCGCUAAUAGAUGAGCCCAAGUCGGAUUAGCUAGUUGGUAGGUAACGGCCUACCAAGGCGACAAUCCGUAGCUGGUCUGAGAGGACGACCAGCCACACCGGAACUGAGACACGGUCCGGACUCCUAC
rnacentral:rRNA from 1 species